CAUGUACUCCCUCCGUUCUGAAUUACUUGUCACAGAUAUAGAUGUAUCUAGAUGUAUUUUAGGUCUAGAUACAUCCAUUUCUGCGACAAGUAAUUUAGAACGGAAGGAGUAGAUC
rnacentral:pre_miRNA from 1 species